GCCAGGUGUGGUGGCACCUGCCUGUAGUCUCAGCUACUUGGGAGGCUGAGGCUAAAGGUUCUCUUGACCCCAGGAGUUCUGGGCUGUAGUGCACCAUGCUGAUCAGGUGUCUGCACUAAGUUCGGCAUCAAUAUGGUGACCUCCUGGGAGUAGGGGACCACCAGGUUGCCUAAGGUAGAAAGUUCCAGGCCUAAAUUCAGUCCAAGAUGCACCUGGCCCUCAAAUCAGCCAUAGCCUGAAGGGGUAAGAGUGAUCUCAG
ensembl:misc_RNA Metazoa_SRP Metazoan signal recognition particle RNA